rnacentral:lncRNA from 1 species
GUGCGCCGCGCGCGGCGGCUGUGCUACUCUCGGCCGUUGGAGGGCCUGCUCCUGCCGGAGGAAGGAGGAUCCCGAGUGCCACGUUGCGAGUUCUUGUGGUGUCCGCCUCCUUCCGGACUCACCACCUCAGGUAGUUGUAUGCCCAGGCCUAUGCUCCAAGGAGGACAAUAUUUAAGAAGUCGGAGAAAGAGAAAAGCCCAAAAAAGAGGCAGAAGAACAGCCUGAGAGACAGAGCAAGUUUUUGUUGCAACAGACACAGAAGAGUAAAAAUAUCACCAACUGCUACAAGAAGAAGAGUAAGAGGAAGAAAAUCACAGAGAACUCUAAAAAAAGAGCUGAAAGCGCCCUAACUGACAGAGACAUGCGAUAGUUUUUCAGAAGAAGAUGGAACAGGGCAUUUCUACAGAGACAACAGGAGAUUUGUGUGAUGCAUCAACCUACCACGUGGAACAGAGCUGUGGAGACUCAUCUGCCAAAUAAAUGACCUCAGCCCAAGCCCUUGUCUUAGAGUUUGACUUUAGAGGAACCUCAGCUAAGACACUUGUCAUCAAGGUGGAAUGAACUUAGAAGCUGAUGGCGGGGACCAAAGGAAAUUAUUCUUGGAAGAAACAGUCCAUCUUCAUGAAUGACCCUUCACCCACAAAAUGUUCUUCUUUUUGAGUUGCCUUUAAUUGCUUUUGUCCCUCCUCAUACUCUCACAGAAAUUCUGUGAGGUUCUGAGAUCGGCUGUCUUCUCUCCACUUUCUCAGGGAGUUCAUUUUCUCCCCAAGCUUCAAGUAUCCUUGAUUUUGUGAAUGAUGUCAAAAAAUAUAAUUCAUUAAUUUAUUUAACCAAUAUCUAUUGUACCUAACAUGUACCAGGAACCAUG